rnacentral:rRNA from 1 species
ACGGGAGGCAGCAGUGGGGAAUAUUGGGCAAUGGGCGAAAGCCUGACCCAGCAACGCCGCGUGAAGGAAGAAGGUCUUCGGAUUGUAAACUUCUUUUAUCAGGGACGAAGGAAGUGACGGUACCUGAUGAAUAAGCCACGGCUAACUACGUGCCAGCAGCCGCGGUAAUACGUAGGUGGCAAGCGUUAUCCGGAUUUACUG